rnacentral:lncRNA from 1 species
AAUUCCUCUAGAACAUCUGGUGUUUAGCAUGAGGGCUGGUGUCUCAGAGAGUUUUACUCAAUGGCUGCUCCACCUUCUCCUUUAGGUCUUUUCUUUGUGCUGUACAUCAGAGAAGUUACUUGUAUACUCAUAUAUUUGUGACAGCCAGCUCUGGUGGUCUAGUGGUUAAGAUUCGGUGCUCUCACUACCGAGUUAAGAAUGGCCAUGUGACCCAGUGCAAGCCAAUGAGUGAAAGUAACGAGUCACUUCCAGGGCUGGCCCAUAACACCUUUCCUUGUGCCUUCCUCCCUACUCUUUCUGGGCUGGAACAGCAAUGAGUUCCUGGAAAACCUUAGGAGUCACAUAAUAAAGAAGACAGAGCAACAUAAUGAAAAGGAAUUGGGCCCCUGAAACAGAGCUUACAGGAGAACCACCUGACAGGAAGACUGGCAGUGGACUGUUAUACGAGGGAGAAAGAGAGUUUUACUGUGUUAAAUAACUGACAUUCGACUUUUACUUUACUAUCAGCAUCUAACAUUACCUCAACUAAUGCUGUAUUCACACCCAGUUUUCUCUAAAUAUUCCAGAUUGCUCUCAAAAAUGGCUGCACAAAAUUAUAUUCCCAAUUUCAAGAAGAUUUUCAUAUUCCCCCUCGUUCUACCCAGUGCUUGAUGUUACUGACUUCAUAAUUUUUUCCAAGCAGGUAAAUUUAGAGGAGAAUUCCAGUUCAGUACUAUUUUAAUUUGAAUAUCUCUGGUUGCUAGUGAGGUCAGGUAGCUCUCUAUAUGUUUAUAGACCUUAGGAUUUCCUCUCUGUGAAUUGUGGUCCACAUCAUUUUCCCACUAAUCCAUUUGUUUUCUCUCGUUUUCUACAAAUUCCAGGCAUUAAAACUUGGUUGAUUUUGAAUGUUGCAAAUAUCUUCUCUCAGCCUGAUACCUUCUUGAUAACUUUGUAUAUGAUUUUCUCUAUUGGACUGAUAUCUUAAAUUUUCAUGAAACUCAAUCUAUUAAUUGUUCCCUUAAUGACUUGUAUUUUAUGGAUCUGCUUUAAGAAAUCUUUUCAAUUCUGAGGUCACAAAUAUAUUCUCCUGCAUUUUCUUCUAUAUAUUGAGCUAAUUUUCCCAACCCCAUUUACUAAAUAAUGCAUCCUUUCCAAAUUGAUAUAUACUAAAUUCCCACAUAAAUGCUUCUGUUUCUAUGUUCUCUACCAUGUCUCCUUGUUCUAUUAAUCGACUGUUGUUCCAAAACUGUGCUGUUUCAAAUUCUAAGGAUUUGUUAUAGGAUUUAACAUGUGAUAGGGAAUUUUCCCUUUUUGCUCUUCUUUGAAAAAUUAUAUUAAACUGUUUUUCCGUGAAAAUCUUAGAAUCAUUUUAUUUCUCCCCUAGCCCAUAAAUGUAAUUUUAAUUGGAAUUAGACUUAAUUUUAUUAAGUAAUUUGGAGAGAAUUUAUAUCUUUGCAAUGUUAAGUCAUUCUCACUAUGGAAAGCGUAUAGCCAACCAUUUCUUUCAUUAUUUUAUCAUCUUUUUUCAGCUUGGAAUUUUUCUCCAUGCAGUCCAAAGCAAUCUUUAC